rnacentral:rRNA from 1 species
UACGAAGGGGGCUAGCGUUGUUCGUAAUUACUGGGCGUAAAGGGCGCGUAGGCUGUGCUGUAAGUCAGGCGUGAAAGCCCCGGGCUCAACCUGGGAAUUGCGCUUGAUACUGCGGCGCUGGAAGGUGGGAGAGGAUGGCGGAAUUCCCAGUGUAGAGGUGAAAUUCGUAGAUAUUGGGAAGAACACCGGUGGCGAAGGCGGCCAUCUGGACCGCAACUGACGCUGAGGCGCGAAAGCGUGGGGAGCAAACAGG